GAACUGUCCUUACAUUCCCAAACAGUGUCUCACUUCACCUCACUGCAUGAUGUUUUAACCAUUUUUUCAAGUUUCAGGGUUUAUUUGUCACAGGUACAAAAUGCAGCGAAAUGAGAUGCAGUUACUCCAAAGACUGUGUCUCUGUUUCUGUUGCUCUACUCAUGCUGCAGGUUCUGCAUGUGGUCAGUGUUUUUCUUGCUCUGAUGCAGCUGAUAAAUGUAAUCAGUGUUGGAUUAUUCGCUGACGAACCUCGACCCAUCCUUGCUCUUGAAGGACUAGGCUUUUUUUUGGAGGUUCCUUAUAUACUAUGAGAGCUCAUCAGUGAAGUAUAGGUCACCAUCAACAAUCUCUUGCGCUUCAAAAAACGUCUCUUCUUCAGGUAACAGGCUGUACAGGAGUACGCCCAGACCCCAGACGGUGGCAGGUUCUGCUCGUAAUUGUUUUC